rnacentral:tmRNA from 1 species
GGGGUCGAUUGGUUUUGACAGCAAGUUGAAUUAUACAAUAAGCAUGUCGCGCAAUAAAUUGUACGCGUAAUAAUCUAUUUGAAAUUUAAACGGCGAAAAUAAUUACGCUUUAGCUGCAUAAUCUGAAUUAUAGUAAGAUUAGCAUAGUUUCCACAAGGUGGAAAAGCUAAAUGUCUCUUGAAAGCCUUUGUUAACGGCGUUCUGUUAGAGGCAUCGUAAAUGUUGACAUAGAAAAUAUGAUGUUUUGACAUAUUUUUGAAAAUAAAAAACUAAGUAAUACAUAGGUAGUUUCUGAUCAGUGUAUUAUCGAAAAUUAAAUAGAAACUAAACAUGUAGAAAGUUGUUUAGUGCCUUGUUUGGACCCGAGUUCGAUUCUCGGCGACUCCACUA